rnacentral:sRNA from 1 species
CCUUAGCCCCGAUAGCAGCGGUUACCCCGGAACACGAGUGGGAGAGUCGUAGGGUAGGGUGUGGGAUGGUCUGGCGUGAGGAGUAUGAGCGGAAAGCGGGAAAAAGC